rnacentral:rRNA from 1 species
GACGAACGCUGGCGGCGUGCCUAAUACAUGCAAGUCGAGCGCAGGAAACUGACGGAACUCUUUGGAGGGAAGGCAGUGGAAUGAGCGGCGGACGGGUGAGUAACACGUAAGGAACCUGCCUCAAGGAUUGAGAUAACUCCGAGAAAUCGGAGCUAAUACCGGAUAGUUCAACGGACCGCAUGGUCCGCUGAUGAAAGGCGCUCCGGCGUCACCUUGAGAUGGCCUUGCGGUGCAUUAGCUAGUUGGUGGGGUAACGGCCCACCAAGGCGACGAUGCAUAGCCGACCUGAGAGGGUGAUCGGCCACACUGGGACUGAGACACGGCCCAGACUCCUACGGGAGGCAGCAGUAGGGAAUCUUCCACAAUGGACGAAAGUCUGAUGGAGCAACGCCGCGUGAGUGAUGAAGGUUUUCGGAUCGUAAAACUCUGUUGUAAGGGAAGAACACGUACGAGAGGAAAUGCUCGUACCUUGACGGUACCUUACGAGAAAGCCACGGCUAACUACGUGCCAGCAGCCGCCGUAAAAC